AGUGAAGCGGGAAAAGCUCAAAUUUAAAAUCUGGCGGCUUUGGUCGUCCGAGUUGUAUUCUAGAGAAGUGUUUUCCGCGUUGGACCGUGUAUAAGUCUCUUGGAACAGAGCGUCAUAGAGGGUGAGAAUCCCGUCUUUGACACGGACUACCAAUGCUUUGUGAUGCGCUCUCAAAGAGUCGAGUUGUUUGGGAAUGCAGCUCAAAAUGGGUGGUAAAUUCCAUCUAAAGCUAAAUAUUGGCGAGAGACCGAUAGCGAACAAGUACCGUGAGGGAAAGAUGAAAAGCACUUUGGAAAGAGAGUUAAACAGUACGUGAAAUUGCUGAAAGGGAAACGCUUGAAGUCAGUCGCGUUAUCUAGAACUCAACCAGGCUUGCUUGGCGUAUUUUCUAGUUAACGGGCCAGCAUCAGUUUUGACCGCAGGAAAAAGGCCAGGGAAAUGUGGCACCCUCGGGUGUGUUAUAGUCUCUGGUCAUAUACUGUGAUUGGGACUGAGGACCGCAGCACGCGCAAGUUGUGCUUAGGAUGCUGGCGUAAUGGCUUUAAACGACCCGUCUUGAAACACGGACCAAGGAGUCUAACAAACCUGCGAGUAUUUGGGUGGUAAACCCGAGUGCGUAAUGAAAGUGAAAGUUGGGAUCCCUGUCGUGGGGAGCACCGACGCCCGGACCAGACCUUCUGUGACGGAUCUGCGGUAGAGCAUGUUUGUUGGGACCCGAAAGAUGGUGAACUAUGCCUGAAUAGGGUGAAGCCAGAGGAAACUCUGGUGGAGGCUCGUAGCGAUUCUGACGUGCAAAUCGAUCGUCAAAUUUGGGUAUAGGGGCGAAAGACUAAUCGAACCAUCUAGUAGCUGGUUCCUGCCGAAGUUUCCCUCAGGAUAGCAGAAACUCAUAUCAGAUUUAUGUGGUAAAGCGAAUGAUUAGAGGCCUUGGGGUUGAAACAACCUUAACCUAUUCUCAAACUUUAAAUAUGUAAGAACGAGCCGUCACUUGAUUGGACCGCUCGGCGAUUGAGAGUUUCUAGUGGGCCAUUUUUGGUAAGC
rnacentral:rRNA from 1 species